CCUACCUCGCUUCUCCAAUUACACGUGCGUUAAUAAUACAUGGCUUUGAUAGGGAACGGGAUUCUGGUGCUUUUGGAUUUUCUCGCUCUCUUUUUCUAAAUGGGGUUAAUGCAAUAUUAAUCGGUUGCGGCUGUUCUAAGAAUGCGCAGGGUUUUUCAGGAACAAAUCGAUGAAGGCUGGGGAUGGCAAGAGCAAAGGCAACCUCUCUCCUUGCGGUGUAAUCUCGCUUUCAAACGCUCCCAAAGCUUUGGACACCUAUCCAAGCUUCAGAGCCCUCUGAGAUUAUUCACUGUGAGUAAUUUAACUGCAGCUUUCUGAUUUCACCGUCGUGUAGCAUACGGAUGUGAAACCAACAAAAUAGUCCCGGAGAGAGGACUUGACUACACGGUGACAUCGAAAAGACAACUGGCUGCUUGUGGCUUGGCUGACUUGCUGGAGCUACCUUCUUUGGAAGCACAUGGGUGCCCUGAAGCUGCUCCUCACUGUACUUCUCGGAACCUGCGGCGCUGCAUCGCUAAUAUUUGAGAGCAAUACCGCAUGGAGGAGAGUUGCGAGGUAACGGAGCCCCAUUUCAUUCAUCCAGCGAGAGGAAGCGUGUAUGCCCUCCGGAAGAGGGUUAUUUUUCUGAAGAAAUGAUGAGCAUCACAACCAACCAACCAUGGUCUUUUAUCUGGGUGUUCAACGUUGAUAACCUGGGUCAAUGUGCCGUGAACCAUUCUGAGCAUCUCUUCAUACUGCAGUGGAAAUGGGGAGAAUAAUCACUACUCAGUGCUCAGAAGGCGUAAGUAUAGGCCAGGUGAUGGGUGUCUGAGUAAUGACAACAUAUAGUCAACAAGAUGGAGAACUUUGUAUCAUGCUACAGCAGGCACCAGGUGGACAGUUUUGCGUUGACAUUGCACAGAUACCCAAGAAGCACUACAAGUGUUAAAUUAAUUCAUGAUUGUUUCAGUGGCUCAUUGAUGGGUUUUGUUGCUUCCAUGCAGAUGACAGAAUUGUGAUCACACCUGUUGUCAUGCUGGUUGGUGUUGUGGAUUUCAUAGCAUAGCCAUUCAUUGGGACACAGUCAGCUUAUGGUGUAGUGCAAAUCACUGAGGGCAACUGAGGUGACAGUAGAAUAACUUUUAGCUGGGUGCAGAGCUAGUGGAAAUUGAUUAUAUACUUGGUGACCCAAGGAGUACCAAGUAGCAGGCAAUUUGUUUCCUAUUCAAACAAUAUAGCUAAUAUAUGUACUUCGUUAAUCUGCUUCAGAGCAUAUUGACUGCCUCAAAUUACAUAUUUAAGUAUUUUAAUGCUGUCAAAGACUUCUGUAGUGUCUAUGCAAAUGUUUUGGGAGCCAUAGCUCAGUGGCAGGGUAUGUGUUUUGCGUGCAAAAGGUCACUGAUUUAAUCUCCAGUAUCUUUAGGUAGGGUUGGGAUUAAUGUUCUCAUCUGAAACUUGGAGAGCCACUGUAGUGAGCUACAUGGAGCUACUGGUCUGACUGAGUAUAAGGCAGCUUCUUAUGCUCAAAACAAGACACGCACAGAGAGGAAGUCAGUCAACAGGGUGCUAGGAUAGCCAUAGCUAUCAGAGACCAGUGUAAGUUUUAAAACCUUUUUUUUAAAAUAAAUUUUGAAAUUAGAAGAAUAACCACCCCAAAGCAAAGCCUGCUUUGGUUAAUGGGCAACAAAGGAAUCAUAUGAACCCAAGCCAAGGCUAAGAGUAAAUAAAGCUAACAGACUUGGCCUAGAGAAGUUACUUCACGGCAUAUGAAUGAAACUUUCAGGUUCAAGUCAAAAAGAAUACUGCUGAGAAACUGCCCUUCACAGGAUAUAUUUUUCCACUUCACACACUCCUCUCUUUCCAUUUACUCUGGCACCAGCAAACAGGUCAAGAUGAGAGCAGGCCUCUACAGCGGUGGCUCCCUGUUCGUGGAAUGCUCUCC